GCUAGUGUAGCUUAAAAUAAAGCAUGGCACUGAAGCUGCCAAGAUGGACCCUAAUAAGUUCCACGCGCA
rnacentral:tRNA from 1 species